UACGAAGGGGGCUAGCGUUGCUCGGAAUCACUGGGCGUAAAGCGCACGUAGGCGGCUUCUUAAGUCAGGGGUGAAAUCCUGGAGCUCAACUCCAGAACUGCCUUUGAUACUGAGGAGCUUGAGUCCGGGAGAGGUGAGUGGAACUGCGAGUGUAGAGGUGAAAUUCGUAGAUAUUCGGAAGAACACCAGUGGCGAAGGCGACUUACUGGACACAUAUUGACGCUGAGGUGCGAAAGCGUGGGGAGCAAACAGG
rnacentral:rRNA from 1 species